CCUACGGGUGGCUGCAGUCGGGAAUUUUGGGCAAUGGGCGAAAGCCUGACCCAGCAACGCCGCGUGAAGGAUGAAGUUUUUCGGAAUGUAAACUUCGUAAGAAUAGGAAGAAUAAAUGACGGUACUAUUUGUAAGGUCCGGCUAACUACGUGCCAGCAGCCGCGGUAAUACGUAGGGACCAAGCGUUGUUCGGAUUUACUGGGCGUAAAGGGCGCGUAGGCGGCGUGGUAAGUCAGCUGUGAAAUCUCCGAGCUUAACUCGGAACGGUCAGCUGA
rnacentral:rRNA from 1 species